AGCUCCUAGCACGGCUGAAGUCAAGUGAUGGCACCGUGGCGCUUCAGCUGAUUCUACCAGCAGACACUGAAAGAGCUCUGAUAGUUUGGUUUCCCAGAGACUAUGGGUUGAGGAGGAAUUGGAAGUUUGUCGGCUUAGACCUGGUGUCAUUCCAUCAGUGUUAAACUUCCUGGCUCAUCUUGGAAGAGUACGUGCCAGAAAGACCACGACCAAGCAGCCUUGAGAUCUUAGGCAGCGUCUCCCUGAGCCUUGGUCUGGAUCAUUGGGAACAUCUGCUCUGAUGGACUGAGAACUACAGUGAACAUGGACAUCCAGCUGUGGUUGUCUUAAGUCUUUUCUCCUUCAUCAUUGUGAGGAAGAGCAGCACUGAUGUCCUCCUCAUCCUUCCAGUAAUAACAAUAAUUCUGCAGAUUCAGCACCUCUUCAUAAUACAACUUGUGACUUCAGUAUUUACACUUCACUGUCAGCAACACGUUGUUUAUUUCAUCCAUUUAUUUCAUGUGUUUACACAUCUUUACAGUUCAC
ensembl:lncRNA